GGACGGGUGAGUAACACGUGGAUAACCUACCUAUAAGACUGGGAUAACUUCGGGAAACCGGAGCUAAUACCGGAUAAUAUUUUGAACCGCAUGGUUCAAAAGUGAAAGACGGUCUUGCUGUCACUUAUAGAUGGAUCCGCGCUGCAUUAGCUAGUUGGUAAGGUAACGGCUUACCAAGGCAACGAUGCAUAGCCGACCUGAGAGGGUGAUCGGCCACACUGGAACUGAGACACGGUCCAGACUCCUACGGGAGGCAGCAGUAGGGAAUCUUCCGCAAUGGGCGAAAGCCUGACGGAGCAACGCCGCGUGAGUGAUGAAGGUCUUCGGAUCGUAAAACUCUGUUAUUAGGGAAGAACAUAUGUGUAAGUAACUGUGCACAUCUUGACGGUACCUAAUCAGAAAGCCACGGCUAACUACGUGCCAGCAGCCGCGGUAAUACGUAGGUGGCAAGCGUUAUCCGGAAUUAUUGGGCGUAAAGCGCGCGUAGGCGGUUUUUUAAGUCUGAUGUGAAAGCCCACGGCUCAACCGUGGAGGGUCAUUGGAAACUGGAAAACUUGAGUGCAGAAGAGGAAAGUGGAAUUCCAUGUGUAGCGGUGAAAUGCGCAGAGAUAUGGAGGAACACCAGUGGCGAAGGCGACUUUCUGGUCUGUAACUGACGCUGAUGUGCGAAAGCGUGGGGAUCAAACAGGAUUAGAUACCCUGGUAGUCCACGCCGUAAACGAUGAGUGCUAAGUGUUAGGGGGUUUCCGCCCCUUAGUGCUGCAGCUAACGCAUUAAGCACUCCGCCUGGGGAGUACGACCGCAAGGUUGAAACUCAAAGGAAUUGACGGGGACCCGCACAAGCGGUGGAGCAUGUGGUUUAAUUCGAAGCAACGCGAAGAACCUUACCAAAUCUUGACAUCCUUUGACAACUCUAGAGAUAGAGCCUUCCCCUUCGGGGGACAAAGUGACAGGUGGUGCAUGGUUGUCGUCAGCUCGUGUCGUGAGAUGUUGGGUUAAGUCCCGCAACGAGCGCAACCCUUAAGCUUAGUUGCCAUCAUUAAGUUGGGCACUCUAAGUUGACUGCCGGUGACAAACCGGAGGAAGGUGGGGAUGACGUCAAAUCAUCAUGCCCCUUAUGAUUUGGGCUACACACGUGCUACAAUGGACAAUACAAAGGGCAGCGAAACCGCGAGGUCAAGCAAAUCCCAUAAAGUUGUUCUCAGUUCGGAUUGUAGUCUGCAACUCGACUACAUGAAGCUGGAAUCGCUAGUAAUCGUAGAUCAGCAUGCUACGGUGAAUACGUUCCCGGGUCUUGUACACACCGCCCGUCACACCACGAGAGUUUGUAACACCCGAAGCCGGUGGAGUAACCUUUUAGGAGCUAGCCGUCGAAGGUGGGACAAAUGAUUGGGGUGAAG
rnacentral:rRNA from 1 species